UUAGGCCUACGGGGGGCAGCAGUGAGGAAUAUUGGUCAAUGGGCGGGAGCCUGAACCAGCCACGCCGCGUGAGGGAAGAAGGUACAGCGUAUCGUAAACCUCUUUUGUCAGGGAACAAAGGCGGGGACUAGUCCCCGGAUGAGGGUACCUGAAGAAAAAGCAUCGGCUAACUCCGUGCCAGCAGCCGCGGUAAUACGUAGGUGGCAAGCGUUAUCCGGAUUUACUGGGCGUAAAGGGCGUGUAGGCGGGACUGCAAGU
rnacentral:rRNA from 1 species